GGGGAAUAUUGCACAAUGGGGGAAACCCUGAUGCAGCGACGCCGCGUGGAGGAAGAAGGUCUUCGGAUUGUAAACUCCUGUUGUUGAGGAAGAUAAUGACGGUACUCAACAAGGAAGUGACGGCUAACUACGUGCCAGCAGCCGCGGUAAAACGUAGGUCACAAGCGUUGUCCGGAAUUACUGGGUGUAAAGGGAGCGCAGGCGGGAGAACAAGUUGGAAGUGAAAUCCAUGGGCUCAACCCAUGAACUGCUUUCAAAACUGUUUUUCUUGAGUAGUGCAGAGGUAGGCGGAAUUCCCGGUGUAGCGGUGGAAUGCGUAGAUAUCGGGAGGAACACCAGUGGCGAAGGCGGCCUACUGGGCACCAACUGACGCUGAGGCUCGAAAGUGUGGGUAGCAAACAGGAUUAGAUACCCUGGUAGUCCACACCGUAAACGAUGAUUACUAGGUGUUGGAGGAUUGACCCCUUCAGUGCCGCAGUUAACACAAUAAGUAAUCCACCUGGGGAGUACGACCGCAAGGUUGAAACUCAAAGGAAUUGACGGGGGCCCGCACAAGCAGUGGAGUAUGUGGUUUAAUUCGACGCAACGCGAAGAACCUUACCAAGUCUUGACAUCCCUUGACGAUGCUGGAAACAGUAUUUCUCUUCGGAGCAAGGAGACAGGUGGUGCAUGGUUGUCGUCAGCUCGUGUCGUGAGAUGUUGGGUUAAGUCCCGCAACGAGCGCAACCCUUAUGGUCAGUUACUACGCAAGAGGACUCUGGCCAGACUGCCGUUGACAAAACGGAGGAAGGUGGGGAUGACGUCAAAUCAUCAUGCCCUUUAUGACUUGGGCUACACACGUACUACAAUGGCGUUAAACAAAGAGAAGCAAGACCGCGAGGUGGAGCAAAACUCAGAAACAACGUCCCAGUUCGGACUGCAGGCUGCAACUCGCCUGCACGAAGUCGGAAUUGCUAGUAAUCGUGGAUCAGCAUGCCACGGUGAAUACGUUCCCG
rnacentral:rRNA from 2 species